rnacentral:rRNA from 1 species
AAUGAACGUUGGCGGCGUGGAUUAGGCAUGCAAGUCGAGCGAGAACCCCGCAAGGGGGGACAGCGGCGAAAGGGACAGUAAUGUGUAGAUUAUCUGCCCUCAGGUCCGGGAUAGCUGCGGGAAACUGCAGAUAAUACCGGAUAACAUCUCCGGAUCAAAGGUGUGAUUCCGCCUGAGGAUGAGUCUGCAUCCUAUUAGCUAGUUGGUGGGGUAAUGGCCUACCAAGGCAUUGAUGGGUAGCAGGUGUGAGAGCACGACCUGCGUCAUUGGGACUGAGACACUGCCCAGACACCUACGGGUGGCUGCAGUCGAGAAUCUUCGGCAAUGGGCGCAAGCCUGACCGAGCGACGCCGCGUGUGGGAUGAAGGCCUUCGGGUUGUAAACCACUGUCAGAGGGGAUGAAAUGCAGGUGGGUUCUCCCAUCUGUUUGACAUAGCCUCAGAGGAAGGACGGGCUAAGUUCGUG